CCGGCUUAGUCUCAUGAAUCAGCCGCUGUUCUUUUGGAACCACCGUCUGAGCACUCUUGUCAUGAAGUCAUUUCAAAAUGGAAUGUUGAUUGCUCACAAAACCAAUGGAAUGUAAUUAAAUUCGUGAUCUUACGCCCACACAUAUUUCCUAAUUGUUAUACAAAUUGCCAAGCGAAGGCAUCUCUCUCUACUUGUGUUUUGCUGUGGUGCUAAAUCUGUGCCCAAGGACCCCUGCUUGCCUUGCUUAUGCUUCGUAGCAGCUUCUAUGUAUGAAGUGUUUACCAUGCGUAAUGCAUGCGUAAUGAUUAUCCAAAUGCGUUGAGCAAAGUGCAGUUCUUUGCUGCCUCCAAGUUCAUCACCUGACUGGACUUCUGCAAUUUGAUUGGUCAAGACGGAAUUCCGUCUUGGCACAUAAAACAAUGACAAGAGUGCUCAGACGGUGGUUCCAAAGAACGGCGGCUGAUUCAUGAGACUAUGGCCGGCUAUGCUAUCAAGUCUUGUUCAUGUUUGGCAAGAAUGUAGGUAGACUAUAGUUUCAUCAUUAAUAUGGUGGAUCAAGUGAAGAGUGUGAGCUAGAGAACUUGGUGCUGCCAUCAUCAGCUCGUCGACAAUGACACUAUAACCGAGAAAUUUAAUAUGUAUAGAUCUACACGUAUUUAAAAUGUCUACUUCUCUGUACAGGAGCAAUGGCUAAUAUCCAACUAUCCCAACAGUGCUCCUCUUGGCUAUACUAACGGACGAGACUGGACAGUUUGAGACACAGGACUGGAGUAUGACCUGCUCAUUUGAGCGUUGCUGGGUAGCUCAGAGACAUCAAGAGAAUCUACGUUUUCUCAAGCAAUGAGUUACGAGUUGGGGCCUAGAAUCAGAGAAGUCCAGCAGCCUGCUAAAUCUUUUUGAAACGUAAUUUGAAGGCAUUCAAUCAUCCUGAAGUUGCCCUGGGUCACUGUAAUUGUGCUGCAGCACAACUGGCAACUCCCCAGGCCUUUGUGAAGCAGCUCCCUAUGUGCAUCUUUUGUGUACUCACUCUGUGCAUUUUCUGUGUACAAAUUUGUAUUAUUGAUUUAUUAAAUA